rnacentral:rRNA from 1 species
GGGCCCGGAAGAUAUUC